GGGAGAGGCUCGUAGCUACGAAAACUGCUAAUUUUCGCAAUUCUUAGUUAGACCCUAGGACUCUCCCG
rnacentral:tRNA from 1 species